UCGAUCCCAUAACGCCGGGAUCACACCCUGAGCCGAAGGCAGACGCUUAACCGCUGUGCCACCCAGGCGCCCCAAUAUAUAUAUUUUUAAGUGGAGACACAGGUUGAUUCCUUAGCCUGAACUUCUAGCUUAUGUAGAAGUUUGAACCACACAAUUCCUGCCACCUAGUGCAUCUGUGGUGGAUAAAAUAGAAUGUGUGGCACUGACCACACAAUGUCUGUGUCCGUGUGGUUAUUGUCAGAGAACUACUGGCUGGUCUUUCACAAGUGGGUGUGUCUUCUAAAGAGAGUGUGUUUGAACGUUGUAUCAGUUCACCUUAGCUGUGUAACAAAAGACCCUAAAAUGUACUAGCUUAAACCAACCAUCAUUUAUUAACACCUGAUUCUGUGGGUUGGCAGUCUGGGCUCAGCCGGGUGGUUCUGCUGGGCAUGCCUGGGUCCCCUCAUGGGACUGCGGUUAGCUGGGGGGUCAGCUGGGGCUGCACGGUCUCGGAGGCGUCAUGCACGGUCUCUCGGGGCCCCAUGUUUGUUGGUGAGUGGCUGGGUAUUGAGUUAUCAGCUUUAAACGUGGAGUGUUUUGACCCUAACGGGUGUUUCUGCUUCUUAAAAGAAGAGACAAUAACCUCCAGGCAAGACCCCAAUCUAGUUAUGGAAAGGGACCUCCUCUGUAUGGGACAUUCACAUUUCUUUGUCAUGGGGCUCUCUUCCUCACCCACCGGCUUCCUCCCGUCUUUCCCUCCUCCCUUCCAAACCUUUCCACCUUUCACCUGCCUUAAGGUUUGUGGAGACCAUUGUGGGCUAGCCUGGGAACUGCACUGUCCUCAGUGGAACAUGCUGUCUAGGGAUGGAUGGGAUGGUCACACAGCCACCCUCUUGUCCCCUGCCAUGGCAAUUUUGGGGCUAUUUCUCUGUCCUUUGGCUUAAGAAAAGGCCCACAGGCAAGGUGGGCUCAUGUCUGCCUUGUCUACCAUUUGCCUUAAAACAGUACCUGGCAUGAGGCUAACACUUACUAAAUAUUAGUGCAGUGGACGAAGGUUUACAAGCAGAGCCCGAGCCCUGUCUGAGGGUUUGCAGCUCUGAGGCCGGUACCAUCCCAGAGGCUACUUCCUGUGGUCUACCGUCCACCAGCCUUCUGGAACCCUGUGUGUGACCCUUAGUGACUGUGACCAGCUGCCCACAAAGUCCACAGACUCCUCCCCCCUCCAGGAUGACCUGUCCUCCUUCCUCGGCUGGAAAUCUUCCCUGAACCCCAGACUCGACCCUUGCACCAAUGACUCAAAACAAAACUCUUCGGUGGGAGAGGGCAACCGGUUUCACUGUGGGAUGUGAGGGAGUGGGCGUGCAUCUCCAAGUCGGUCUGUGUAUAUGUUUUGGGCGAGGGUGCAGAUUAUCUCUGCCCGAAGGCCCCGGCUUUGAGGGGCUUCCUUCGCACAAGGGCAAGGUGGAUUUGUACGGUUGGGUUGACUGCUGUCCAGCAGAGGGCGCUCAAGUCAGUCUACGGCGGUGGCUUUGAAGUGCACCGCGACGGCAAGGUGACUGGUUCUGAUUCGCCUGGAGGUCCCCGGUGAGCUGGCCAUGGACCCCUGUCCAUGUGUGUGUGGCAGCCACAAAAGUCCCCAAACUGUGCACGGAAUCCCUGGAACCUUGAAUAUGAUCCCCUCCAUGUUCAUGGCAAAAGGAAUUCUGUACAUGUGAUAACAGUUCCGCAUUUGGAGAUGAGGGGGUGAUCCUUGAUCAUCUGGGUGGGCUCAGUCUAACCACGUGGACCCUUAAAAUCAGAGGACCCUCCCCAGCUGGGACAGAAGUGACACAGAAGAAGGGGAGGGGGACUUGAAGGGUGACAGGCAUUUGGCCUGCUGCUGUGGGCUUUGAAGCUGAGGACACGAGCCAAGACGUGCAGGUGUUUCUCGAAGCUGGGAAUGGCCCUCAGCUGACAGUCAACUAGGAAAUGGGACCUGAGUCCCUGCAACCGUAAGGAGCUGAGGUCUUCCAACAACCCUGAUGAGCCUCCAGAAAGGAACACAGCCUGCGGACACCUCGUUAGCCCGGUGAGCCCUAGAAUGGUCACAAACGGUCACAAGAAACUAAUGGUAUGGAAAUGACUCCCUUCCUUUCUCCAAGAGAAUGGUUUCAAGCCCGUGCGAGGGAAGCAGUGUUGUCCCUCUGUGAGUGGCUUAGGGCCUGCCGUGGAUGGCCAGGUGUCUGGCUGUGGAUGGCCAAUGGCUACUAUGGACAACCGAGUGUUUGCCUGUGACCCUGCCAUUCCCUUGUCCCCUCCUUUUCUGCAUCUGGUACUUGGAGUUCUGGAGGUUGGGUGGAGCCUGCCCUGUCUCCCCCAGUCCCUGCUGCUUGGCUCUGGUGUGUGGAACCCACAGGUGUGCUUGGGAAACUGAGACCCAGAAGGGGGGCACUGCAGGAGAGAGUCUAGGCAGCUGCAGGGGUGACAUGCCCUCCCUUGCUUCUCCAUCCAGAAAGAGAAGGACAUGCCUGUGCUGCCCCAAUCGAUGCCGAAAGCUCAUUGGUCAGGACCAGGUGGGCACAUGGUGCAUUCCCGAGGGACCAAGCUACCUGCUCUCCCAUCUGUCCAGCACUGGGCGAGGGGCGUGCUGUGAUGGGAAGAGAGGAGCCCCUGCCCGGACUCCCCUGCCCCCAGAUGGUAAAGGCCUGCCUGGUGAUGGUGCCUUGGCCACUUCAGGUGAGUCUCCAGGGGCUGGGGGGGGGGAGACCCUGUUCCCCACACCAGUCACUAUCCCUCUUGCCUCUCCCAAGGCUCCUCGUCUCAGACUCCUGACCUAUCCAUCCACAGUGGUCCCCAUGGGUCAGGUGGGCAUCUCAGAGGUGGGGGCUCCGGGAUGGAGCUGGGUGGGUGGGAGAUGAAGCCUGACCCCAGCAGGGACUGGGAUGGAGGGGAGGGGACCUCUGUGGAGCUGAAGAGGGCCCCCUCCCAGCACUGUCUCUGUGGAGUCCUCCAAAGACGGUGGGUGUCAUGGCGGCCACAGGGGGUCCCCUCAGCUGGGGCCCUGUUGACCCACGAGCUUUAGCUUCGGAGACAGAUGGACACCUUCAACUCUGAUGGAAGAUCCACUUCUGAACCAGGCCCAUCACUGUGUGAGCUCACGGACUGUAACGAUCUCCACGUGACAUGAGAAACUUGCUCCAGGUCCCGUCUGCUGGGCAGGGGUGAAGUUGGGAUCUGAUCCCAGACACUUGGGUCUGUUCGAGACGUUGGAUACACAGAGAGGAGCCCUCCCUGCCCUCCAAGGGCUGGCAUUAUAAUGGCAGAGACAAACACUACCCAAAUCAGGACCCGGGCACGGAUUCCCAGUAUCUUAGCCGGAUUUCUUCACUCUGGGAAGGGGGAAUUAAAAGAUGACCUCGUCUGGGUGUCAAAUACACCGGGAACGUGGCUGGGCUUGCAAUCAACGAAACCACGACGGCUCAAUGAACCCACGAAGGAGGGUGCAGUUCCAC